UACGAAGGGGGCUAGCGUUGUUCGGAUUUACUGGGCGUAAAGCGCACGUAGGCGGUUUGUUAAGUCAGAGGUGAAAUCCCGGAGCUCAACUCCGGAACUGCCUUUGAUACUGGCAAGCUAGAGUCCGGAAGAGGUAAGUGGAACUCCUAGUGUAGAGGUGGAAUUCGUAGAUAUUAGGAAGAACACCAGUGGCGAAGGCGGCU
rnacentral:rRNA from 1 species